rnacentral:piRNA from 1 species
UUUUUUUAAGAAGUUGGUGUU